rnacentral:rRNA from 1 species
UACAGAGGGUGCGAGCGUUGUUCGGAAUUAUUGGGCGUAAAGCGCGCGCAGGCGGCUUCUUAAGUCUGAUGUGAAAGCCCACGGCUCAACCGUGGAGGGUCAUUGGAAACUGGGAAGCUUGAGUGCAGAAGAGGAGAGUGGAAUUCCACGUGUAGCGGUGAAAUGCGUAGAUAUGUGGAGGAACACCAGUGGCGAAAGCGGCUCUCUGGUCUGUAACUGACGCUGAGGCUCGAAAGCAUGGGGAGCAAACAGG